rnacentral:rRNA from 1 species
UACGGAGGGUGCAAGCGUUAAUCGGAAUUACUGGGCGUAAAGCGCGCGUAGGCGGUUUUUUAAGUCGGAUGUGAAAGCCCCGGGCUCAACCUGGGAACUGCAUCCGAUACUGGAAGACUAGAAUGCGGGAGAGGGAGGUAGAAUUCCAUGUGUAGCAGUGAAAUGCGUAGAUAUGUGGAGGAAUACCAGUGGCGAAGGCGGCCUCCUGGCUCGACAUUGACGCUGAGGUGCGAAAGCGUGGGGAGCAAACGGG